CGGGACACGUGGUAUCCUGUCUGAAUAUGGGGGGACCAUCCUCCAAGGCUAAAUACUCCUGACUGACCGAUAGUGAACCAGUACCGUGAGGGAAAGGCGAAAAGAACCCCGGCGAGGGGAGUGAAAAAGAACCUGAAACCGUGUACGUACAAGCAGUGGGAGCACAGAGCAAUCUGUGUGACUGCGUACCUUUUGUAUAAUGGGUCAGCGACUUAUAUUCUGUAGCAAGGUUAACCGAAUAGGGGAGCCGAAGGGAAACCGAGUCUUAACUGGGCGUUAAGUUGCAGGGUAUAGACCCGAAACCCGGUGAUCUAGCCAUGGGCAGGUUGAAGGUUGGGUAACACUAACUGGAGGACCGAACCGACUAAUGUUGAAAAAUUAGCGGAUGACUUGUGGCUGGGGGUGAAAGGCCAAUCAAACCGGGAGAUAGCUGGUUCUCCCCGAAAGCUAUUUAGGUAGCGCCUCGUGAAUUCAUCUCCGGGGGUAGAGCACUGUUUCGGCAAGGGGGUCAUCCCGACUUACCAACCCGAUGCAAACUGCGAAUACCGGAGAAUGUUAUCACGGGAGACACACGGCGGGUGCUAACGUCCGUCGUGAAGAGGGAAACAACCCAGACCGCCAGCUAAGGUCCCAAAGUCAUGGUUAAGUGGGAAACGAUGUGGGAAGGCCCAGACAGCCAGGAUGUUGGCUUAGAAGCAGCCAUCAUUUAAAGAAAGCGUAAUAGCUCACUGGUCGAGUCGGCCUGCGCGGAAGAUGUAACGGGGCUAAAC
rnacentral:rRNA from 1 species